AUCUGCAGCCAAACCACCCUGAACCCGCCCGAUCUCCUCUGAUGUCGGAAACUAAGCAGGGUCGGGCCUGGUUCGUACUUGGGUGGGAGACAAAAAUGGACUCCCAGUCUAGCGGCAGCUA
rnacentral:rRNA from 1 species